UGUGCUCGGCCACCGCGGUGGAGGAAGGACCGAGGGGGCAGGAUGCAAAGUGGAGAACGCCCACCGCGAGGGUGCGCAAAACCGGCGAUUUGCAAAGUGCCAGGGCCAGACAGGCAGAGGGGGAGGAAGGAGGCUGGCUGAAGACCAGGAACAGAGAGAAGAGCCCACUUCUCCAUCAAAAGGUCGGUUCGGUUAACGCGUCCCCAGAGCAGGGAGUUAAUCAGGGGCUGGACGUGAUGUAAAAGGAGCUGAAGCCCGCUGUCCUCCUUUGCCGCUUAUCUGCAUUUUGGAGAUUCCUUGAAGCCCAGGAUUGAAGAAACCACCCAGUUCAUUAAAGUUCAUUUAUUUUUAUUUUUAUUUUCAUCAGAGGGUAGUAGUGAAGAGUUGGCACCAAGAUGUGUUUAAAACAUUGAUCGGCGUGGCAUUUUGUUGUUGUUGUUCUUUUUAAAGGGCAAAUGCAUUUAAGACCGCUAAAAGACCGAGAGGGGAUUGGAAAACUCCAUGAAGUGGGGGAAUAAAAGACACAUUUAAACUGUAA